GUAAUCCACUGGGGUACGCUUCCGCGCUGUGGAGAGUAUGUUCUUUUGCUCUUCACAGUAAAUCUUGCUAAUGCUCACUUUUUGGGUCCACACUACUUUUAUGAACUGUAACACUCACUGCGAAGGUCUUUAGCUUAACUCCUGAAGCCAGCAAGACCACGAAUCCUCUGGGAGGCAUGAACAACUCCUGACCCGCCACCUUAAAGAGCUGUAACACUCACUGUGAAGGUCUGCGGCUUCACUCCUGAAGUCAGCGAGACCACGAACGCACCAGAAGGAAGAAACUCCCCACACAUGUGAACAUCUGAAGGAACAAACUCCCGACACUCCAUCUUCAAGAACUGUAACACUCACCGUGAGGGUCUGCAGCUUCAUUCUUGAAGUCAGCAAGACCAAGAACCCACCAGAAGAAACCAAUUCCGGCCACAGUGUCUCCUUGGCUUACUGUGGAAAAACUCAAGGGGAGAUUAUUCUCUGAAAAAUCUUACCAGGAGGUGAAAAUCUGACAGCUCAAAAUGAAGCAAAAACCCAAGAUUAAAACAGACACCAUUUUGUGCCCACUCAGUCUUCUUUCCAGGGUCAUACAUGUGUUGUCUGCAUACCUCAUUCUUCCUGGAUACGGGACAAGAACUCAGUACCCACUAAAUGGCAAGACUAAAACAGCUGUAACACAAACAGUACUGAAACACACCCACCCGUUUGCCAUUUUGUGGGUGACGAAAAGGAGAGAAGUCCUGCAGCCUAUGUCUGGGAACCCAGACCUCAGGGCUCUUUAAGCCAGGACUGUGACAUGCUGUAACAACCUCUUUGAGGCUCUGCAGUUUCUGGGAUCUCCAAGAUUUCGGGCGCCACUGCAUUCCCCUUGUCCAGAUGUUGGUGCCCACAGCAGAAGUCACCUGCAGUACAUCUGGUACAGCUGCAGCCUUGCAUGGAGUUGGCACCUGUGCCAGCACCUGGAGCUGCCUGUCCAUCACAGCUGGCAUGCCUGGCUGUGCACAGUGGCCAGGCCCCACGCUUACCUGCUCACACACCCCUCACUGCUUCAUGCCUAGCUCACACUUGGCAGGUGUGGGAUCCAGGCUGGUAGCAGGAGCUGAGUGCAUCAUGCUAGGCUGAUUGGACAGAACAAGCCCAGUAGGCCUGAGCAAAACUUGGGCAAAGACGCCACCGGCCAUAGAGGUUUCUGGCUGGAAACCAGUGAC
rnacentral:lncRNA from 10 species